rnacentral:rRNA from 1 species
AGUGAACGCUGGCGGUAGGCCUAACACAUGCAAGUCGAACGGCAGCACAGUAAGAGCUUGCUCUUACGGGUGGCGAGUGGCGGACGGGUGAGGAAUACAUCGGAAUCUACUUUUUCGUGGGGGAUAACGUAGGGAAACUUACGCUAAUACCGCAUACGACCUACGGGUGAAAGCAGGGGAUCUUCGGACCUUGCGCGAUUGAAUGAGCCGAUGUCGGAUUAGCUAGUUGGCGGGGUAAAGGCCCACCAAGGCGACGAUCCGUAGCUGGUCUGAGAGGAUGAUCAGCCACACGGGAACUGAGACACGGUCCAGACUCCUACGGGAGGCAGCAGUGGGGAAUAUUGGACAAUGGGCGCAAGCCUGAACCAGCCAUACCGCGUGGGUGAAGAAGGCCUUCGGGUUGUAAAGCCCUUUUGUUGGGAAAGAAAAGCAGCAGGUUAAUACCCCGCUGUUCUGACGGUACCCAAAGAAUAAGCACCGGCUAACUUCGU